CGAACGGUCGUGAAAACUCGGCUUCCUUUUAUAUACAUUUUUAUUUUAGUUAUWACUAAAAAAUUCUACAAUUUCUACAAAUUUUAAAGAAAAUAGUGCAAACCAACUAAAACAUUUUUAAAUUAAUUGUGCAAUGUCAAUAAUAUUUUGCCUAAAUUUAAUGCAARACAAAAACUGUUAAACGCGAAAAUUUUGUUGUAGUGCAAGUUUGCCUCAAUGUCACUAGAGAACAACAAAACAACAAAUGUGUGCUUAAUUAAAUACGGCGAACAGUUAAAUAUUUAUCAUUAGAAUCAUAGUGAUCGCUUAUACAUACCUACACACAUACAUUCAUACAUGCAUAUGUGCCCAUGUCUGCUGAAGAAAUCAUGCUGUGAUUAUAAAUGCAAAAACCAAAGCAAAUUAACCGCAAAUAUUUAGUCAAAUCGAGCGCAUAAUUGAGUGAAUAAGAAGAAGAA